rnacentral:sRNA from 1 species
AUUUUCUUCAGUUGUUUGUCUUUGAAGGAGUUUGUCCAUUUCAUCUAAGUCCUCAAAUUUAUAGACCUAGUGUUUCAUGAUAUACCCUUUUUACCUUUUGUAAUAUUUGUUGAAUCUGUAGAGACAUCAUAUCUCCCAUUUCUGAUAUCUCUACCUAGAAUAUUUGUAGUUGUGAGGCAAUUGUAAAGAUUCCCUAAAAGAUUGGGGUUAUUUUUGUAUGUAUCUGUUUCAGCACGUAGACAGACUAUGCUCUUUUCUGCCACCCAAACUCGAAAAGUUGAAGACCUGGCAAGGAUUUCUCUGAAAAAGGAGCCAUUGUAUGUUGGCGUUGAUGAUGAUAAAGCGAAUGCAACAGUGGAUGGUCUUGAACAGGGAUAUGUUGUUUGUCCUUCUGAAAAGAGAUUCCUUCUGCUCUUUACAUUCCUUAAGAAGAACCGAAAGAAGAAGCUUAUGGUCUUCUUUUCAUCUUGUAUGUCUGUGAAAUACCACUAUGAGUUGCUGAACUACAUUGAUUUGCCCGUCUUGGCCAUUCAUGGAAAGCAAAAGCAAAAUAAGCGUACAACCACAUUCUUCCAGUUCUGCAAUGCAGAUUCGGGAACACUAUUGUGUACGGAUGUGGCAGCGAGAGGACUAGACAUUCCUGAAGUCGACUGGAUUGUUCAGUAUGACCCUCCGGAUGACCCUAAGGAAUAUAUUCAUCGUGUGGGUAGAACAGCCAGAGGCCUAAAUGGGAGAGGGCAUGCCUUGCUCAUUUUGCGCCCAGAAGAAUUGGGUUUUCUUCGCUACUUGAAACAAUCCAAGGUAAAGAUCUGUACUUGGAGAAAGAUUUCUCUCGGUGUAGGAAUUGUUAGCAAGCAACAUUUCUACAUGUGUCAGAGGAGUCUCGAGUCUGGCCAGUGCUAUUACAACCAUUCUUAUGGCAAUUAAGCAAGUAAGGUUUUAUGUACGUCUAGCCCAAGAAGUGAGCACAGAAGGAACUGCCCACAUGGCUCGGCUUUCUAGCUCUGUUACCCAGCAACACCUCUGUGUCCCAGCCUCUCCUUUCCUGUUCCCUCCAGCCCUCUUUGAAACCUUCUCCACUCCUUUGAAGCUCCCUCACACCUAGUCAUCUCUGCUUCUGCUCCCCUUCUUUCCUCUUACCUCAUGUGAAGCAGUGGGGAAUCCUUGUUCGCUCUAGCCUCUGCCUCCUCCCCUGCCCUCUGUCUCCUAUUCAUCAACUCUUGGCCUACAGUCUCUUCCUUGCGGUUGGCGCUUUACCAUCUCAAAUUUCUCACUGUAAAAAAGUAACUUCAACCUUAAACCUGUUCUUCUACCCCUACCUGCAGGAGCUACUGUCUGUUGCCUUUCCUCAGUCAGCCUUACUGGAAAAAUGGCUUAUAUUCUUGCCAUUUACCUCCCUCUCAGUCCCUAACCAGCCGAAUUUGGCUUUAGCUUUCUACUAUCACACCAGAAUUGAAUCCAUCAGAACCCUAAGUGGCCUCUUCAUUGCUAGGCCAUGUGGGGGAUGCAUAUCAGGCCUUCUCCUGCCUGACAUUUACAUCCUCAUUGGCCCUUCUGGCAUAGUCUUGCUGAUAGGCUUCCUCUACCCUGUAACUGCAGGCAGUUCCCUGAAAUUGCUCUACAGCUUUUGCACGCUUUGUCCAGAAUGCUUGGUUUCAGCUCGCCUCUGUCUUUGCUGGGAAGCCAUCGCUGAUCUCCUGCCUCCUUGUUCCCACAGCACAGUUGCUCAUCAGGUUGACAUUUCUUUCUUUCUUUCUUUUUUUAUUAUUAUUACACUUUAAGUUCUAGGGUACAUGUGCACCAUGUGCAGGUUUGUUACAUAUGUAUUCAUGUGCCAUGUUGGUGUGCUGCACCCAUAAACUCGUCAUAUACGUUAGGUAUAUCUCCUAAUGCUAUCCCUCCCCCCUCCCCCGACCCCACGACAAGCCCCGGUGUGUGAUAAUCACCACCCUGUGUCCAAGUGUUCUCAUUGUUCAUUUCCCACCUGUGAGUGAGAACAUGCGGUAUUUGGUUUUCUGUCCUUGCAAUAGUUUGCUCAGAAUGAUGGUUUCCAGCGUCAUCCAUGUCCCUACAAAGGACAUGAACUCAUCCUUUUUUAUGGCUGCAUAGUAUUCCAUGGUGUAUAUGUGCCACAUUUUCUUAAUCCAGUCUGUCAUUGAUGGGCAUUUGGGUUGGUUCCAAGUCUUUGUUAUUGUGAAUAAACAUACGUGUGCAUGUGUCUUUAUAGCAGCAUGAUUUAUAAUCCUUUGGGUAUAUACCCAGUGAUGGGAUGGCCGGGUCAAAUGGUAUUUCUAGGUCUAGAUCCUUGAGGAAUCGUCACACUGUCUUCCACAAUGGAUGAACUAGUUUACAGUCCCACCAACAGUGUAAAAGUGUUCCUGUUUCUCCACAUCUCCUCCAGCACCUGUUGUUUCCUGACUUUUUAAUGAUCGCCAUUUUAACUGGUGUGAGAUGGUAUCUCAUUGUGAUUUUGAUUUGGAUUUCUCUGAUGGCCAGUGAUGAUGAGCAUUUUUUCAUGUCUGUUGGCUGCAUAAAUGUCUUCUUUUGAGAAGUGUGUGUUCAUAUCCUUCGCCCACUUUUUGAUUGGGUUGUUUGAUUUUUUCUUGUAAAUUUGUUUAAGUUCUUAGUAGAUUCUGGGUAUUAGUCCUAGCCAAAAUUGACAAAUGGGAUCUAAUUAAAGAGCUUCUGCACAGCCAAAGAAACUACCAUCAGAGUGAACAGGCAACCUACAGAAUGGGAGAAAAUUUUUGCAAUCUACCUAUCUGACAAAGGGCUAAUAUCCAGAAUCUACAGGUUGACAUUUCAUUACUUAUCUUUCUCCCCCUCAAGACGGCAAGCUCUGUGAGGGCAGAGUCCAUGAGUUAGGCACCUAUUUUCUCUCUAGCACCUGGCACAGGCCUGUUGCUUUUCUAGUUAUCUAAUGAGUGAUAACUGAUGGCAGAUCCAUCCUGUAGGAGUUUGUGGUCAUCAUGGCCUCCAGUGUCACAAGCCUCAAUACAGGACUGUGGGGGUAUUAGGGCCCCUCUUCUGACAUGGAGAAAAGGGGCUGAUGGCCCUUCUGACUAGAAGCUUCAAGCUGAUUCAUGGUUGCAAAUAGUCAGGAUUAUAGAGAUUCUUACAGAAAAGUGCUUUACUGACUGUGUCCCUAUCCAGUUCCUUGCCUUUCAGAAAGAAAGAAGUGCAGAUUGCCUAACUCAGCAGAGCAAAGAUGUAACUUUCCCAUCAACAUUGGGAGACUAGAAAAAGCAGAUUUUCCUUUCUGUCCUGAGGGAAUUUCAUAGGCCGGUUCAUCCUUCCCUGUCUUCAGUACCCAGUAUCGGAAUGCUGAUCAUCCUGCUUUACUAAUCUUAAUACUUUUGAUUUCUAGGUUCCAUUAAGUGAGUUUGACUUUUCCUGGUCUAAGAUUUCUGACAUUCAGUCUCAGGUAUGUGCUUUUUAAACGUUUGUGAGUAAACAGGAACCUUGUCCCAGCACUCUGUUUGUAGUGAUUCACUGGGCAAUCACCGUCCUUUGAAGUCUACCCUGUCCUAAAGUUAGGAUCAGGCUGUGUGGUGUAUAAGGUUUCUUGCUAUUCUAGUUAUCACCACUCUGUGCCCUCUUUAAAUGUUUUCCAUGGAGUGGCUUUGCUCUAGGAUAUUUAAAAUCUGGUGUUUUGGAGGUUUUUGUUUGUUUUUGUUUAUUAAAACCAGUGUUUCUUUCUAUUUCAGCUUGAGAAAUUGAUUGAAAAGAAUUACUUUCUUCAUAAGUCAGCCCAGGAAGCAUAUAAGUCAUACAUACGAGCCUAUGAUUCCCAUUCUCUGAAACAGAUCUUUAAUGUUAAUAACCUAAAUUUGCCUCAGGUUGCUCUGUCAUUUGGUUUCAAGGUGCCUCCCUUCGUUGAUCUGAACGUCAACAGUAAUGAAGGCAAGCAGAAAAAGCGAGGAGGUGGUGGUGGAUUUGGCUACCAGAAAACCAAGAAAGUUGAGAAAUCCAAAAUCUUUAAACACAUUAGCAAGAAAUCAUCCGACAGCAGGCAGUUCUCUCACUGAAGACAUGCCUUCCUUUCAUCUUGAAUAACUUUGUCCUAAAAUGAAUUUUUUUUCCCCCUUGAUUUAACAGGAUUUUUGUAGACUUUAGAAUUUGGACUUACCUAACAAGAGUAUAAAUUGACUUGGGUUGCAAGCACUGAGCACUGUUACUUCUAUCAAGUCUCUCUUUUAUUUCUGGGAUAUAAAACAGGCUUUAAGUUUCUUGGUUGCCCAAGGGCAGAGCAAGGAAUAUCUGGUGUUUCUUGUGAUGAUAAUAUUUUAAUUUUAAAUAUCCCUCCCUCAUACAAGUGUAUGUUACCAUUUUAAUAUAAUUCUUUUUGUACCUUUCCUUCUUGUUUUGUGAAGAUUUUUGUGGCAUGGAUUGCUGUGCUCACUGCUGUAAAAGGUGACCUAGUGUACUGGGCAGCUGGUGGCGGUGCAGAAAAGAGUCUCAGGUUAUUUUUUGUUUUUAGUUAUUUCUUGGACCUUGACAGUAUCUAAUGACUCCUCCUGAAAAUGCUGCAGUAUAAAAGAGCAAAGAGCUUUGGGAAAUACCUAAGAAGCAUCUUAAGAUUAGGGUGACAUUGCUUUUAUAGAUUCUUGAUUUUAAAGCAACAGGCCUUUCUCAGGUGUUGCAUUUUUUGGAGCAAAAACUAUGGGUUGUAAUUUGAAUAAAGUGUCACUAAGCAGUUAUAACGUUUGAUGGCUGGGGGGUAGGAAGAGGAUGGAAUUGAGAUGUUUGAGCCUCAUUUACAUCAAUAGAGGUGUAAUGUACUGCAUUUCUUCAUUUGGUAACAUAACAAAGACUUUAAAAACACACAUACAAAGAACGAUGAUGCUCCUCAUUAAGAUUUGUUUAAUUCAAGGUGGUUUGGAUUUGGUAAGCCUUUGCACUCUGUAGAGUACUUAGAAGACAAGGGCAACUUACUUGGAGUUAGAGCCAAGCUGUCAGACGGUGCCCAGCACACAUUAAUGUUAGCUUCUUUCUGAGAAAAAAAUACCUCUUCCAGGCCCUGAAACAAAAAAUACAUUUGCUGUGAAGAUUGAAAAUGAACAAAGUUAGAAAAAAAAACAGCAAAAUCAGUGAUUUAGUCAGAUGAGUUUUUCGUUGUAGGAGCACUUGAUUUCUAGUGUGUUUUGUACAGUAUAUAACUACAAGAUAGUACAUUUUGUAGCAGUUCAAAGCCAAAGUUGCUAGCAUAAUUUUGCUGUUGUGCCAGUUAAUCAUAGGAUCCCAUUAAAUAAGUGUGCUAACAUCGAAUAUAGAGAACACUGGUAAAGAACAUUCCAGUAGGAAAAGAGAAGAACAAUCUUCCAUUUCUGGGCUUGGCCACCAUCACCCUGGUCGGACCUGUCCUGGACUUCCAACCUUGACUGCUGAGCUCCUGGCUUAGCUUCUUGGGUUCCUAAUUCCUGGUGUUUAAUAAUUCUCUCCACGAUCAUGUUUUUCUGAUUUUUUUUUCAGAAAUAAUGUUUUUUAAAAGACAAAAACAAAGGGAAGAAUAUUUAAUUACUGAGCAGAAGUAAAUACUGUUGGUAUUUUGUACAUAAUCUAAUUUUUAUAUGCAUGUUCAUGCUUUUUAAUUUUUUUAUCAAAAAUUAAGUCAUCUACCUACUACUUGUAACCAGCUUGUUUCAUAACAUGUUAUUUUCCUGUGUCAUUAAAUAAUUACUUC